CCUACGGGAGGCUGCAGUGGGGAAUAUUGCACAAUGGGCGCAAGCCUGAUGCAGCCAUGCCGCGUGUGUGAAGAAGGCCUUCGGGUUGUAAAGCACUUUCAGCGGGGAGGAAGGCGUUAAGGUUAAUAACCUUGGCGAUUGACGUUACCCGCAGAAGAAGCACCGGCUAACUCCGUGCCAGCAGCCGCGGUAAUACGGAGGGUGCAAGCGUUAAUCGGAAUUACUGGGCGUAAAGCGCACGCUGGCGGUCUGUCAAGUCGGAUGUGAAAUCCCCGGGCUCAACCUGGGAACUGCAUUCGAAACUGGCAGGCUAGAGUCUUGUAGAGGGGGGUAGAAUUCCAGGUGUAGCGGUGAAAUGCGUAGAGAUCUGGAGGAAUACCGGUGGCGAAGGCGGCCCCCUGGACAAAGACUGACGCUCAGGUGCGAAAGCGUGGGGAGCAAACAGGAUUAGAUACCCCUGUAGUC
rnacentral:rRNA from 1 species